rnacentral:rRNA from 1 species
GACUAUUUAUCAAAAAUAUAAGUCUCCACAAAAUCGUAAGAUCAUGUAUAACGACCGUCAUCCACCUAGUGCAAAAAGGUCAAGUUAGUGCCAUGAUGACAAAAAAUCGAUGACUGAAGCCAAUGAGUGUAACUACAUUGGACUUAAGUAACGAAAUUCUUUCUCAUGUAAGUUUAACAAUUCUCGGACGAAAUACC